rnacentral:rRNA from 1 species
AUUGAACGCUGGCGGCAGGCCUAACACAUGCAAGUCGAGCGAGCGGCGGACGGGUGAGUAAUGUCUGGGAAAUUGCCUGAGGGAGGGGGAUAACUACUGGAAAGGGUAUAAAAUACCGCAUACUCUCAGCUGUCCCCAGAAGGGAUUAGCUAGUAGGUAGGGUAAUGGUGCACCUAGGCGACGAUCCCUAGCUGGUCUGAAAGGAUGACCAGCCACACUGAAACUGAGAAACGGUCCAGACUCCUACGGGAGGCAGCAGUGGGGAAUAUUGCACAAUUGGCGCAAGCCUGAUGCAGCCAUGCCGCGUGUAUGAAGAAGGCCUUCGGGUUGUAAAGUACUUUCAGCGAGGAGGCGUUACUCGCAGAAGAAGCACCGGCUAACUCCGUGCCAGCAGCCGCGGUAAUUC